UCCCUAUCAGGAUCUUAUCUGGAGAGUUUCCAGUACUUUAUCAGUUUCGGCUAUGGAAGGGAGAGUCAAACUGAGACAUAUCCAUUCCAUUCCUAGUUUGGGCAUUGGCUAGUGAGUGGAAGUCAAUCUGCUACAAGU